GACGAACGCUGGCGGCGUGCUUAACACAUGCAAGUCGAACGGAAAGGCCCUGCUUUUGUGGGGUGCUCGAGUGGCGAACGGGUGAGUAACACGUGAGUAACCUGCCCUUGACUUUGGGAUAACUUCAGGAAACUGGGGCUAAUACCGGAUAGGAGCUCCUGCUGCAUGGUGGGGGUUGGAAAGUUUCGGCGGUUGGGGAUGGACUCGCGGCUUAUCAGCUUGUUGGUGGGGUAGUGGCUUACCAAGGCUUUGACGGGUAGACGGCCUGAGAGGGUGACCGGCCACAUUGGGACUGGGAUACGGCCCAGACUCCUACGGGAGGCAGCAGUGGGGAAUAUUGCACAAUGGGCGGAAGCCUGAUGCAGCAACGCCGCGUGCGGGAUGACGGCCUUCGGGUUGUAAACCGCUUUCGCCUGUGACGAAGCGUGAGUGACGGUAAUGGGUAAAGAAGCACCGGCUAACUACGUG
rnacentral:rRNA from 1 species